rnacentral:rRNA from 1 species
UACGUAGGGGGCAAGCGUUGCCCGGAAUCAUUGGGCGUAAAGCGCGUGUAGGCGGUUCGGUAAGUCGGCUGUGAAAGUCCAGGGCUCAACCCUGGGAUGCCGGUCGAUACUGCCGGACUAGAGUUCGGAAGAGGCGAGUGGAAUUCCCGGUGUAGCGGUGAAAUGCGCAGAUAUCGGGAAGAACACCCGUGGCGAAGGCGGUUCUCUGGGACGGUACUGACGCUGAGACGCGAAAGCGUGGGGAGCGAACAGG